AGGACAGUGGCAGAUCAGUGUAAUGGC
rnacentral:piRNA from 1 species